CUGGUUGAUAACAUUUUAUAACAUGCAAUAAAUUUAGUAAUGGAGUAGACCUGGUGUAUUCUCCAUAAACAUGUUACAGUUCAAAAGCUUGGCCGUGUUGUUUUAUGUGAUACUACCGGUCUCGGUAUGUUAUGGAGUUUUUUGUGGCGGUAAUUACUUUCAUACGGGUAGAUGUUGUAUAGUUGUGUGGAAGAGCUAUUGUUGCGAAAAAAGUACGACAACCAGUUACUCAACCACGACGAUUUCUACCAGGACAUUUUAUCCAAGUUUUCCUAGAAGGACACCUUCUCCACCUUUAUCCAGAAGGACUCCUGAUAUUCCCAUUAUCCCAAUAUGUAUAGGGGGUAUGGUUUUGGCAAUAAUUCUCUUUAUUUGUACUAGUGUUGGUAGAUGUGGGCAGGCCAGGCAGGAAACACCAGGAUCAGAUAGUACCAAUCACAUAUCCUCUAUAUCUGGGAACACGGAGUCUAGUGGUGGUUUCUUUGCGUGGUCUUUAAACAGCGGAAACGAUGACAGUGGGUUUGGGAGUUCAAGAAACGACGACAGCGGUUUUGGGUUUUCAAGCAACAAUGACAGCGGUUUUGGAUUUUCAAGCGGUAGCCAUUUUGGGAGUUCAAGCAACGAUGACCACGGUAUUUCAUCUUUCGGCGAUUCAGAUUAAGAAUAAAAAAGUGAAAACACAACACUUAAAGGUGCGUCACUCACAUUUUCACAAAAAUAUCAAAUUUCUCACGGCUUAAUCCAUGCUAAGUAUGAACUCAGAUUGAUAAUUGAACUUUUAAUUAAGAAAUCAAAAUAUCAAACCCUAUAUAAUCUUCGGCUACCAAUAAAUAUGGCUGAUAUUCUUGUUAGUGAUUAACUUUUCGUAAUAUUGUAGUUUGCAAUCGAUGAAUAAAGUGCUAAAUGACGCAUUAGGCCUCUAACUUGUUGAUUUUGUGAUGGUAAUUUAUACACCGGCAUAUAUUUAUUGUUAUUUGCCCGAUUUGUCACAGAUUGUCAUCGACUUUUCAGGAAUGGUUAGUAUUGGGGUGAAGCUUUUUCAUUAAAGUAGUUCCAUGAGUCACGGCCUCGAACUUUACCGUGCACAUACU